rnacentral:rRNA from 1 species
GAUGAACGCUAGCGGCAGGCUUAACACAUGCAAGUCGAGGGGUAUUGGUUUUCGGACCAAGAGACCGGCGCACGGGUGCGUAACGCGUAUGCAAUCUACCUUUUGCAGAGGGAUAGCCCCAGAGAAAUUUGGAUUAAUACCUCAUAGUAUAGUACUUUGGCAUCAAGGAACUAUUAAAGUCACAACGGCAAAAGAUGAGCAUGCGUCCCAUUAGCUAGUUGGUAAGGUAACGGCUUACCAUGGCAACGAUGGGUAGGGGUCCGUGAGAGGGAGAUCCCCCACACUGGUACUGAGACACGGACCAGACUCCUACGGAGGCAGCAGUGAGGAAUAUUAGGACCAAAUGGGGCGCAAGCCUGAUCCAGCCAUGCCGCGU